UAGGGAAUCUUCCGCAAUGGACGAAAGUCUGACGGAGCAACGCCGCGUGAGCGAAGAAGGCCUUCGGGUCGUAAAGCUCUGUUGUUAGGGAAGAACAAGUAACGCAGUAACUGGCGUUACCGUGACGGUACCUAACGAGAAAGCCACGGCUAACUACGUGCCAGCAGCCGCGGUAAUACGUAGGUGGCAAGCGUUGUCCGGAAUUAUUGGGCGUAAAGCGCGCGCAGGCGGUUCCUUAAGUCUGAUGUGAAAGCCCACGGCUCAACCGUGGAGGGUCAUUGGAAACUGGGGGACUUGAGUGCAGAAGAGGAGAGCGGAAUUCCACGUGUAGCGGUGAAAUUGCGUAGAGAUGUGGAGGAACACCAGUGGCGAAGGCGGCUCUCUGGUCUGUAACUGACGCUGAGGCGCGAAAGCGUGGGGGAGCAAACCA
rnacentral:rRNA from 1 species